CCUACGGGUGGCUGCAGUGGGGAAUCUUGCGCAAUGGGCGAAAGCCUGACGCAGCCAUGCCGCGUGAAUGAUGAAGGUCUUAGGAUUGUAAAAUUCUUUCACCGGGGACGAUAAUGACGGUACCCGGAGAAGAAGCCCCGGCUAACUUCGUGCCAGCAGCCGCGGUAAUACGAAGGGGGCUAGCGUUGCUCGGAAUUACUGGGCGUAAAGGGCGCGUAGGCGGACAUUUAAGUCAGGGGUGAAAUCCCAGAGAUCAACGCUGGAACUGCCUUUGAUACUGGGUGUCUUGAGUGUGAGAGUGGUAUGUGGAACUGCGAGUGUAGAGGUGAAAGUCGUAGAUAUGCGGAAGAACACCAGUGGCGAAGGCGACAAGCUGGCUCAUGACUGACGCUGAGGCCCGUAAGCGUGGGGAGCAAACAGGACUAGAUACCCCAGUAGUC
rnacentral:rRNA from 1 species